UCUAUCAUGAUGUCUCUCUUUAACUCACUGUCGUUUGGGACACACACUCUGUCCUGGAACUGGAGUAACUCAUCGGCAGUGACUAAGAAUUCUGAGCUCACUUCCUGUUCUGCAUCAAUCUUGCGGGUUACUAGGGCGGAGUCGACUGAUUGAGCUUCCCUUAUUCUCUGUAUUAACUCAGGUUGGAUGGUCAGACGGCCCAAACAUGUGACUCUCUUCAGGUCCUGAAGCCGAACCUGUU
rnacentral:lncRNA from 1 species